rnacentral:tRNA from 1 species
UCCGAAUUGGUGUAGUGGCUAACAUUUGACGCUCUCAUGAUUAUCCAGUCAUAGGAUCCGUCAAGCCCGGGGUUCGAUUCCCCGAUUCGGAG